rnacentral:hammerhead_ribozyme from 1 species
AGCCGAAACGCCCCGGCCCCGGGGUGUCCGCCGGAUCUUCCCCACCGGCGCUGACGAGGCAGGGAGAA